rnacentral:rRNA from 1 species
GGACUGCCGGUAAUAAACCGGAGGAAGGUGGGGAUGACGUCAAAUCAUCAUGCCCCUUAUGACCUGGGCUACACACGUGCUACAAUGGUUGGUACAACGAGUUGCGAGUCGGUGACGGCGAGCUAAUCUCUUAAAGCCAAUCUCAGUUCGGAUUGUAGGCUGCAACUCGCCUACAUGAAGUCGGAAUCGCUAGUAAUCGCGGAUCAGCACGCCGCGGUGAAUACGUUCCCGGGCCUU